rnacentral:rRNA from 1 species
AGUGGCGGACGGGUGGGUAACGCGUGAGAAUCUGCCUUGGGGUCGGGGACAACCACUGGAAACGGUGGCUAAUACCGGAUAAGCCGAUUGGUGAAAGAUUUAUUGCCCGAAGAGGAGCUCGCGUCUGAUUAGCUAGUUGGUGAGGUAAGAGCUCACCAAGGCAGCGAUCAGUAGCUGGUCUGAGAGGACGAUCAGCCACACUGGGACUGAGACACGGCCCAGACUCCUACGGGAGGCAGCAGUGGGGAAUUUUCCGCAAUGGGCGAAAGCCUGACGGAGCAAGACCGCGUGAGGGAGGAAGGCUCUUGGGUUGUAAACCUCUUUUCUCAGGGAAGAAGCUCUGACGGUACCUGAGGAAUCAGCCUCGGCUAACUCCGUGCCAGCAGCCGCGGUAAUACGGAGGAGGCAAGCGUUAUCCGGAAUUAUUGGGCGUAAAGCGUCCGCAGGUGGCGAUUCAAGUCUGCUGUCAAAGCACGGGGCUUAACUCCGUAAAGGCAGUGGAAACUGAAUAGCUAGAGUGCCGUAGGGGUAGAGGGAAUUCCCGGUGUAGCGGUGAAAUGCGUAGAGAUCGGGAAGAACAUCGGUGGCGAAAGCGCUCUACUGGACGGCAACUGACACUCAGGGACGAAAGCUAGGGGAGCGAAUGGGAUUAGAUACCCC